GAUGAAGAACGCAGUGAAAUGCGAUAAGUAGUGUGAAUUGCAGAAUUCAGUGAAUCAUCGAAUCUUUGAACGCACAUUGCGCCCAUUAGUAUUCUAGUGGGCAUGCCUGUUCGAGCGUCAUUAAUUCCACUUAAGCCCUGCUUAGUGUUGGGAAUCUACUCUAGUGGUGCUACCCUGGAGCUACCCCUGAAAGGGGGCUGGCCCGGUAGCUACCCUGUAGUUCCUCAAAGAUAGUGCGCGGAGUUGCGUGGUCCUCUGAGCUUAGUAACUAUACACCUAGCUUUUGAGUGUCCCGCGGCGCCUGCCGUUUAAACCCCAUCUUUUAAUGGUUGACCUCGGAUCAGGUAGGAAUACCCGCUGAACUUAAGCAUAUCAAUAAGCGGAGGA
rnacentral:misc_RNA from 1 species